UUAAUUGAAGAGUUUGAUCAUGGCUCAGAUUGAACGCUGGCGGCAGGCCUAACACAUGCAAGUCGAGCGGCAGCACAGAGGAACUUGUUCCUUGGGUGGCGAGCGGCGGACGGGUGAGUAAUUCCUGGGAAAUUGCCCGGUAGAGGGGGAUAACCAUUGGAAACGAUGGCUAAUACCGCAUAACCUCGCAAGAGCAAAGCAGGGGACCUUCGGGCCUUGCGCUAUCGGAUAUGCCCAGGUGGGAUUAGCUAGUUGGUGAGGUAAGGGCUCACCAAGGCGACGAUCCCUAGCUGGUCUGAGAGGAUGAUCAGCCACACUGGAACUGAGACACGGUCCAGACUCCUACGGGAG
rnacentral:rRNA from 1 species